AGCAGCCGCGGUAAUUCCAGCUCCAAUAGCGUAUAUUAAAGUUGUUGCAGUUAAAAAGCUCGUAGUUGAAUUUCGGGAUUUGUCAGUUGGUCGGGCUUCACUGUCCGUAUUGACUUGAUGGAUUCUUACCUUCUGAAUAACCAGCAUGCUAUUAAGUUAGUGCGUUGGGGAAGCAGAUCUAUUACCUUGAAAAAAAUUAGAGUGCUUAAAGCGAGCUAGUGCUUGAAUAGAUUAGCAUGGAAUAAUAAAAUAGGACGGCAUGGUUCUAUUUUGUUGGUUUCUAGGAUCACCGUAAUGAUUAAUAGGGAUAGUUGGGGGCAUUAGUAUUCAAUUGUCAGAGGUGAAAUUCUUGGAUUUAUUGAAGACUAACUUCUGCGAAAGCAUUUGCCAAGGAUGUUUUCAUUAAUCAAGAACGAAAGUUAGGGGAUCGACGACGAUCAGAUACCGUCGUAGUCUUAACCAUAAACUAUGCCGACUAGGAAUCGGACGAUGUUAAUUUUAUAAUGACUCGUUCGGCACC
rnacentral:rRNA from 1 species